rnacentral:rRNA from 1 species
GGGACAACAGUUGGAAACGACUGCUAAUACCGCAUAAGCCCACGGGUCGGCAUCGACCAGAGGGAAAAGGAGCAAUCCGCUUUGAGAUGGCCUCGCGUCCGAUUAGCUAGUUGGUGAGGUAAUGGCCCACCAAGGCGACGAUCGGUAGCUGGACUGAGAGGUUGAACGGCCACAUUGGGACUGAGACACGGCCCAGACUCCUACGGGAGGCAGCAGUGGGGAAUAUUGCACAAUGGGGGAAACCCUGAUGCAGCGACGCCGCGUGGAGGAAGAAGGUCUUCGGAUUGUAAACUCCUGUUGUUGAGGAAGAUAAUGACGGUACUCAACAAGGAAGUGACGGCUAACUACGUGCCAGCAGCCGCGGUAAAACGUAGGUCACAAGCGUUGUCCGGAAUUACUGGGUGUAAAGGGAGCGCAGGCGGGAAGACAAGUUGGAAGUGAAAUCUAUGGGCUCAACCCAUAAACUGCUUUCAAAACUGUUUUUCUUGAGUAGUGCAGAGGUAGGCGGAAUUCCCGGUGUAGCGGUGGAAUGCGUAGAUAUCGGGAGGAACACCAGUGGCGAAGGCGGCCUACUGGGCACCAACUGACGCUGAGGCUCGAAAGUGUGGGUAGCAAACAGGAUUAGAUACCCUGGUAGUCCACACCGUAAACGAUGAUUACUAGGUGUUGGAGGAUUGACCCCUUCAGUGCCGCAG